rnacentral:misc_RNA from 1 species
GAUUAACAAAAUUGCACUUCAAUAAAUACUGAACAUUUAGGCCGUUUGUGACAUGUAUUUUCUCGCAGGCAAUUCGUUCUGUCUGUCAAACGUUUGCAGCAUCUCUCUCAAUGCUGGUUUUUCAACUGUACUAAAGGGCAGCAUUUCUUUUGCGAUGCAGCGAACUACCAUUUUUGCUCCAUUUAUAUUUACUUUGUCGACCAAACGCCUCAGUGAGUGUUGACUUUCGGGACGAAGGCUCUGCAUCUUGAGGUGCACUUUUUUUUCCCCAGCUGGGAACACUGGGU